rnacentral:lncRNA from 1 species
GUGAAAUUAGUUCAUGAUAGAGGCCCAUUUAAAAAGCUCAUGAAAUUGGUUCAUGAAAUUAAUUCAUGAUAGGAGCCCAUGUUUAGAUAAAUAUGGUUUGGGUUGGAGACAUUUGAAUGAUAUAGAUUUAGUAAUUUUGGGAUUUAUGCUCUUGGGCUUUGGUGAGUUUAUUUAUGAAAUAGAUUGAGUUGAAUUUUAUUUGUAAACUUUAGGUUUUGAAUUUUAUUUGUAGAUUUUUGGUUUUAUUUGUGGAUUUUGGGUUUCAUGGGUUUUAUUUAUAGACUUUGGAUUUUCGGUCUCAUUUAUGGACUUUAGAUUUUUGGGCUUCAUUUGUGGAUUUUGGAUUUUGGAUUAUAUUUGUGGACUAAGAUGAAUUUUUGAGCUCUAUGGGUUUUGCGCCUGAAUUUGCAUGUGGGUUAGAUCGAGAAAUUUAUUCAUACGAAGACUUGAACUUUUAUGGGUUUUG